rnacentral:tRNA from 1 species
GUGCCCAUAGCUCAGCUGGAUAGAGCACCAGCCUUCUAAGCUGGGGGUCGCAGGUUCGAAUCCUGCUGGGCACGCCA